rnacentral:rRNA from 1 species
UGAGGAAUAUUCGGCAAUGGGGGAAACCCUGACCGAGCAACGCCGCGUGAAGGAUGACGGUCUUUGGAUUGUAAACUUCUUUUCACGGGGAAGAGAGAGGACGGUACCCGUGGAAUCAGUCACGGCUAACUACGUGCCAGCAGCCGCGGUAAUACGUAGGUGGCAAGCGUUAUCCGGAAUUACUGGGCGUAAAGCGCCCGCAGGUGGUUGUCUAAGACUGACGUGAAAGCGCCUGGCUUAACUGGGCGAGGUCGUGGGUGACUGGAUGACUAGAGGCAAGAAGAGGGGUGCAGAAUUCCCGGUGUAGUGGUGGAAUGCGUAGAGAUCGGGAGGAAUACCAGAGGCGCAAGCGGCACCCUGGUCUUGGCCUGACGCUGAGGGGCGAAAGCGUGGGGAGCGAACGG